rnacentral:rRNA from 1 species
AACGAACGCUGGCGGCAGGCCUAACACAUGCAAGUCGAGCGAGGACUUCGGUCCUAGCGGCGGACGGGUGAGUAACGCGUGGGAACGUGCCCCUUGGUACGGAAUAGCCCCGGGAAACUGGGAGUAAUACCGUAUGAGCUCUACGGAGGAAAGAUUUAUCGCCAAGGGAUCGGCCCGCGUUGGAUUAGGUAGUUGGUGGGGUAAUGGCCUACCGAGCCGACGAUCCAUAGCUGGUUUGAGAGGAUGAUCAGCCACACUGGGACUGAGACACGGCCCAGACUCCUACGGGAGGCAGCAGUGGGGAAUCUUAGACAAUGGGCGCAAGCCUGAUCUAGCCAUGCCGCGUGAGCGAUGAAGGCCUUAGGGUUGUAAAGCUCUUUCAGCUGGGAAGAUAAUGACUGUACCAGCAGAAGAAGCCCCGGCUAACUCCGUGCCAGCAGCCGCAGUAAAAC